UACAGAGGGUGCAAGCGUUGUUCGGAAUUAUUGGGCGUAAAGCGCGCGUAGGCGGCCCUGUAAGUCCGCUGUGAAAGUCGGGGGCUCAACCCUCGGAUGCCGGUGGAUACUGUCGGGCUUGAGUACGGAAGAGGCGAGUGGAAUUCCGUGGUGUAGCGGUGAAAUGCGCAGAUAUCAGGAGGAACACCAAUUGCGAAGGCAGCUCGCUGGGACGUUACUGACGCUGAGACGCGAAAGCGUGGGGAGCAAACAGG
rnacentral:rRNA from 1 species